rnacentral:tRNA from 1 species
GUGGGUGUAGCUCAGUAACAGAGCACAUGCUUAGCAUGCACGAGGCCCUGGGUUCAAUCCCCAGUCCUUCCA